rnacentral:rRNA from 1 species
AGAGUUUGAUCAUUGCUCAUGAUGAACGCUGACAGAAUGCUUAACACAUGCAAGUCUACUUGAACUUCGGUUUGGGUGGCGGACGGGUGAGUAACGCGUAAAGAACUUGCCUCACAGUUAGGGACAACAUUUGGAAACGAAUGCUAAUACCUGAUAUUAUGAUUUUAGGGCAUCCUAAGAUUAUGAAAGCUAUAUGCGCUGUGAGAGAGCUUUGCGUCCCAUUAGCUAGUUGGAGAGGUAACGGCUCACCAAGGCGAUGAUGGGUAGCCGGCCUGAGAGGGUGAACGGCCACAAGGGGACUGAGACACGGCCCUUACUCCUACGGGAGGCAGCAGUGGGGAAUAUUGGACAAUGGACCAAGAGUCUGAUCCAGCAAUUCUGUGUGCACGAUGACGUUUUUCGGAAUGUAAAGUGCUUUCAGUUGGGAAGAAAAAAAUGACGGUACCAACAGAAGAAGUGACGGCUAAAUACGUGCCAGCAGCCGCGGUAAUACGUAUGUCACAAGCGUUAUCCGGAUUUAUUGGGCGUAAAGCGCGUCUAGGUGGUUAUGUAAGUCUGAUGUGAAAUGCAGGGCUCAACUCUGUAUUGCGUUGGAAACUGUGUAACUAGAGUACUGGAGAGGUAAGCGGAACUACAAGUGUAGAGGUGAAAUUCGUAGAUAUUUGUAGGAAUGCCGAUGGGGAAGCCAGCUUACUGGACAGAUACUGACGCUAAAGCGCGAAAGCGUGGGUAGCAAACAGGAUUAGAUACCCUGGUAGUCCACGCCGUAAACGAUGAUUACUAGGUGUUGGGGGUCGAACCUCAGCGCCCAAGCAAACGCGAUAAGUAAUCCGCCUGGGGGAGUACGUACGCCAGUAUGAAACUCAAAGGAAUUGACGGGGACCCGCACAAGCGGUGGAGCAUGUGGUUUAAUUCGACG